rnacentral:tRNA from 1 species
AAGAACUUAGGUUACAACUCAAACCACGGACCUUCAAAGUCCGAAACAGGGACAAAAACCCUAGCUCUUG